UACGUAGGGUGCGAGCGUUGUCCGGAAUUAUUGGGCGUAAAGAGCUCGUAGGCGGUUUGUCGCGUCGACUGUGAAAACCUACAGCUUAACUGUGGGCUUGCAGUCGAUACGGGCAGACUUGAGUUCGGUAGGGGAGACUGGAAUUCCUGGUGUAGCGGUGAAAUGCGCAGAUAUCAGGAGGAACACCGGUGGCGAAGGCGGGUCUCUGGGCCGCAACUGACGCUGAGGAGCGAAAGCAUGGGGAGCGAACAGG
rnacentral:rRNA from 1 species